AUGCCCUUAUAACUUGAGGGGCAUGAGGAUAGUCAGUAGUCCAACAUCCCUCUUGAUGGCAC
rnacentral:pre_miRNA from 7 species